UGCUGCAUGAAAGGUGGCAUUUAGCUGCCGUUUGAGGAUGAGCCUGCGCUCUAUUAGUUUGUUGGUGAGGUAAUGGCUCACCAAGGCGAUGAUAGAUAGGCGGCCUUAACGGGUGGUCGCCCACACUGGGAUUGAGAUACGGCCCAGACUCCUACGGGAGGCAGCAGUCGAGAAUAGUCUACAAUGGACGAAAGUCUGAUAGUGCGACGCCGCGUGAACGAAGAAUCCCCUAUGGGGUGUAAAGUUCUUUUAUAUGUGAGCAAUGCUUUUUAUGUAAAUAGCAUGAGAAGAGAGAUAUUAGCAUAUGAAUAAGCAACGGCUAACUCCGUGCCAGCAGCCGCGGUAACACGGGGGUUGCAAGCGUUGUCCGGAAUUACUAGGCGUAAAGGGCAGGUAGGCGGAUAGAUAAGUUUGAGGUUAAAGGCAACGGCUCACCCGUUGUGCGGCUUCAGAUACUGUUUAUCUGGAAUGCGGUUGAGGAAGACAGAAUUCCUGGUGUAGCGGUGGAAUGCGCAGAGAUCAGGAGGAAUACCGAAUGCGAAGGCAGUCUUCUAAGCCGUAAUUGACGCUAAACUGCGAAGGUGUGGGUAUCAAACAGGAUUAGAUACCCUGGUAGUCCACACAGUAAACGAUAAUCACUAGGUGUCGGUUUCGAAGCGGAAUCGGUGCCGUAGCUAACGCGUUAAGUGAUUCGCCUGGGGAGUACGAUCGCAAGGUUGGAACUCAAAGGAAUUGACGGGGGCCCGCACAAGCGGUGGAGCAUGUGGUUUAAUUCGAUGCAACGCGAAGAACCUUACCCGGUCUUGACAUCUGAGGAAUCCUUCAGAGAUGAGGGAGUGCUGGUUUUACCGGAACCUCAAGACAGGUGCUGCAUGGCUGUCGUCAGCUCGUGUCGUGAGAUGUUGGGUUAAGUCCCGCAACGAGCGCAACCCCUGCUUUCAGUUACCAUCAUUAAGUUGGGGACUCUGGAAGGACCGCUGCGGUAACAACGCAGAGGAAGAUGGGGACGACGUCAGGUCAUCAUGGUCCUUACGACCGGGGCUACACACGUGCUACAAUGGUAGUUACAACGGGUUGCCAAGCCGCAAGGUGGAGCGAAUCCCCCAAAAGCUACCCAAGUUCGGAUUGAGGUCUGCAACUCGACCUCAUGAAGCUGGAAUCGCUAGUAAUCGCGCAACAUCAUGGCGCGGUGAAUACGUUCCCGGGCCUUGCACACACCGCCCGUCAAG
rnacentral:rRNA from 1 species